UAUAAUGCAAGUCGAGCGAAUGAAGAGGAGCUUGCUCCUCUGAUUUAGCGGCGGACGGGUGAGUAACACGUGGGUAAUCUGCCUGUAAGACGGGGAUAACUCCGGGAAACCGGGGCUAAUACCGGAUAAUAAGAGAAGAAGCAUUUCUUCUUUUUGAAAGUCGGUUUCGGCUGACACUUACAGAUGAGCCCGCGGCGCAUUAGCUAGUUGGUGAGGUAACGGCUCACCAAGGCGACGAUGCGUAGCCGACCUGAGAGGGUGAUCGGCCACACUGGGACUGAGACACGGCCCAGACUCCUACGGGAGGCAGCAGUAGGGAAUCUUCGGCAAUGGGCGAAAGCCUGACCGAGCAACGCCGCGUGAGCGAUGAAGGCCUUCGGGUCGUAAAGCUCUGUUGUUAGAGAAGAACAAGUACGAGAGUAACUGCUCGUACCUUGACGGUACCUAACCAGAAAGCCACGGCUAACUACGUGCCAGCAGCCGCGGUAAUACGUAGGUGGCAAGCGUUAUCCGGAAUUAUUGGGCGUAAAGCGCGCGCAGGCGGUCUCUUAAGUCUGAUGUGAAAGCCCACGGCUCAACCGUGGAGGGUCAUUGGAAACUGGGAGACUUGAGUGCAGGAGAGAAAAGUGGAAUUCCACGUGUAGCGGUGAAAUGCG
rnacentral:rRNA from 1 species